UCAAUUUAACGUCCAGCCACUGAGGAACAGUCACACGUGAUAAUGCUGCUAAUCGUAGGAUUUUCUUCCGCGAACAACCUCCGUUAAAAUCCUCUGAGAAAGAUCGCAAGUGGAGUGAACUCAUCGAAAAUCGUCCUCAAAGUUCGCGUUGUCCUGCGGGAAGGAUCGACGGAUUGGAACUUAAACCGGUGAUUCGACAAUCAAAUUGAAUUCCGACUUAGUAAUCUUGUGAACCGUCAUGAAAAGUGCGGAGUAAAAUAAAGUGAUGUGAUUGUGCUUACCUCCGUCGCAGAUCGAAUAUCACAUGUUUGCCGUCUCUAUUGGAAUAACUCCCGAUGAUAUUUCGUCCAAAGCGUCUACUGCUUUUAAUAAGCUGACUGGGAGAUCAGAACUGAGGUAUGAGCCUGUUCGAGGGCAGAUCGUCCGGUCACUUGACCAAUGCGGAUCUCGAUGAUGGCCGCUCAAGAUGACAAUUUUCCGGUGUCGCCACAGCAACGUUUCCGCUUCAAAGAUGCAAACGUCACCCAACACAAUCACUCCAGUCGAUAUCCGGGCCCCGGCCCAGGCGGCCCAGGCGUGGGCGCCAGCGGGGAUGCCGAACGAUGCGAGGCGUGGCACAUCACUCCCAUCGCCCUGCCCGUGGAGCUACACGCCAAGAGUAUCACCAACACUCAUCAGGACCCAGAGUGUGAUAUUAACGUUACACCUUUAAACCGAGUUAGGAGAAGCAUUCGCCGAGCUGCCUCAUCUUUUCGUGUAUGUAUCUACU
rnacentral:lncRNA from 1 species